rnacentral:lncRNA from 1 species
GGGGACGGCUAGCUUUUCUCUCCUCGCAGCUUGAGCACAGAACAUUCGAUCUCUCACAUUUCGACCGGACAGGGACUAGGCUCACCCCCAAUCUAGAGGGAGGAGAGCGAGGAAGAGGGACGGUCUCGCUAGGGGGCGCCCUCGGCACGGUGGGAACUUCGCAGGCCUCGAGGAGGGCGUACACAGUCGCUGGGACAGCCAGUGUCCGCUGGAGUUGCAAAUCCUAUGUUCGGAGGGAAUUCUCAGGCCUCCAAGAUCUUUGUGAGGAGUGGAGCGAGUAACAGUUACCUCCACGGCACUUGCAGGCAGGAGGGAUUGUUCGUUUCCAAGAAGAUCUGCACCGGCUGUACCCAAAUAGAACGUCAUUUUGAUAUGAAGGAUUUCAGCCCCUGAAGAUUUUGAUACCCACAGAGUUGCUGGAAACAGCUCUCCUGGAUACCAAGGGAUGCUCAUCUCAUAUUUGAAUCAUCCCGACCCUCACUGAGCAGACAGCUCCCAGAGUAACGCUGACUCAGAGAGAAGGAAUUCGAGUCACCCGGGAUAUUUAAAAUAUUCUAGUAGCCACGUAGUUUAACAGAAAGAAAAAAAAUAUUAAGACAAGUGAGAUGAACCUUAAUAAUAUUUAAUCCAAUGAUGUAAACUAUUUUCAUAUGUAAUCAAUAUAAAAUAAUUAGUGC